rnacentral:rRNA from 1 species
UACGUAGGGUGCGAGCGUUAAUCGGAAUUACUGGGCGUAAAGCGUGCGCAGGCGGUUUUGUAAGCCAGAUGUGAAAUCCCCGGGCUCAACCUGGGAAUGGCAUUUGGGACUGCAAGGCUGGAGUUUGGCAGAGGAGACUGGAAUUCCUGGUGUAGCAGUGAAAUGCGUAGAGAUGUGGAGGAACACCAGUGGCGAAGGCGACUCUUUGGCCUGUAACUGACGCUGAGGCGCGAAAGCCAGGGGAGCGAACAGG